GAGCAGGCUUCUUAGCUCACUUGGCACAGCAUGAGACUCUUAAUCUCAGGGUUGUGGGAUCUGACCCCACUUUGUUUG